UUUAGCAGCCUGCCUCUGCGUGACCGGCUGGAGGGGGGGGCUUCAGUCCGGGGGGAGGCCCUGAGUGUGCUUUGAAGCCAAAACAGGGUUUUGCCCUUCCGUGAGUAAGCGCUUUGUAUGCAAGGCCGGACAGGACUUUGCUAACCUUAAUUGAGGACUGCGCCAAGUAAAGGGCGAAGUCACUCCUGCAGUCGCUGGGUAUCGCUGUAGCAAGAGCAAAGAUCACAGCGUAGCCCAGGUUUUCAUUUGAACAUGUCCAGGCUGGCACACAGUUGAGAAUUCAGACUGCACUGGUAAGAAAGGCCAGUUGGUGCAUCUAUUUUAUCCCACCACCUUCAGUGAAAGAUUAUUUCUAGUAUCUUAUCAGAAAGAAGCAGCCUUUCAAAAGCUGUACCUUGGUAAGUAUGCACGCUCCAUUUUGGCAAACAUUUGUUGUGGUUUUGAGAGGUUGUUCUCCCCUCCUCCUCCUGCUUGCUUUCAGCUCUUCUCCAGCUCAUCCAGCUACGCUCACUCAGCUGUGCUCAUUGCGUCACUUGUGCUGGAAGGGAGGCAGUAAGAGGUGGAACUGUCAGGAUGGCAUCAAUUGGGGAUCCACGAACAUAGGGCUGUGUUGUGCUAACAUGGCCCUGCAACCUAUGAUAGAUUCAUGAGUCAGCAUCCUUGAUAGGUGCCUAGUGGCUUGUGGGACAGCUGGUUAGCUGGAUCAGGAAACGAUGCAGAAAUUCUCCUGUUUGUGCUCCUGUUUUUCCUCAUGCUAGAAGAGACAACACCAUUUCUUGAGAACUGCACUGCACAUGCUUAGGACAAAGAGCAGCUCCUUUCGGCUUUUUUGCAUGAUUAGUUGCAGCUCUCUGCCUAGAUCUUCCUUGUUCUGUUGAUAUGAUUUUCACAGCAGUGUGUUGUGCAUAUUUUGCAAGUUCCAGCUUGAAACUUCCUCCUAGCAGAAGGCUGUGUCAUUUAAAGGAACCCCACCCUGCUCUCCCUUGAAGAUGUGCAAUCCCAGGCUGUGUCUGAGCAUGCCUGGGGAGGCAGGUGCAGCCCGGCUGGAUCCUCAAGAUGACCUACAAAUAAAUGCUGCUUAAACAAAUUGGACUAAUAAGAACAUUCAAAAUUCAAGUAAUAAUCAAGACAGUUUCUGCUCUGUAGUCUUUACUUCGUGCUUCUCCCAUUCCCUCUACCUCUGUUUGUAACCCAGGAUAUAUGCCAUAGCCACUUUGCUAUGGAGAUUAAACAACAUAACUUCAAAGAACUGGUUAGCAAUAACAUUAGAUAAUAUGUAGCACCUUUAUUGAUAGCAAACAUCAGAUUAAUGUUGCUUUUUAAAAAGCUCUUCUUUUUCCCCCACUGUUACAAAUAAGGAGUUACAAACAAACAUUUAUUUUAUAAACUUUGGGGGGGGAGGGAAUCGUUCAGCUCACAGCGUACAAACACAUCUGUACAGCCAUUAAAUCUUUCCCCCAGUCCAGAACAGAAGACAAGUGCUUAAAGCCAGUAAGAGUCCUUCAAACCGUAGAACCAAAUCACAAGACCAGAGCUGGGUUGUUGCUCUGAUCAAAGCAAGCUCUUUGUGCUCAUCUUGGUCCCACUCAGUGGGAGCCAGAGCGUGUCACCUGCUCCACACAGUUUCCUCCUCAGAUGAGCUCUUUGUAGAGUCACCGGAUUCCUUCUCAGCGUGGAGAGUCACCCUAUUAUUUGCUGCAAGCAUUGAAAGUAUCGGUCCCCAGCAGCGCACACACAGGUACCCUUAGGGCCUUGUCUGGAUGAGCUCUGCCAUUUGAUGGCACCUAUCUUGUGACCACGCAAACCUCUCAGGGAUGUUCUGUUUCAGGAUCAUCACAUCUGCAGACUGAUCCACAGCUUUCCUUUAUGUCUAAGAAUGGCUGGGCCUGCAGUAGCUAAUUCUCCUAAGCUUCUUAAGCCUUUUUGGCUGUUGUUCCUUAAGGAAACCUGGCACCAGACUUCUCUCGAUUUUUCACUGAAGUAAAGGUAGAGUUCCCGUACAGUUGGAAAUGGUCUCAGUUCCAGCUUUUAUCCCUCAGUCUCCACUCAGAACUUUCUGUGGCUGCCUGAUCCAGAAAGCUGCUGUGUUGAACAGAGACCUCCUCCAUGGCUCAAAUGGCACAUGACAGGGAUAUGCUCCAGUAAGCAAUCCCUUCAUGUGCACAAGUUUGCGUGCCAGCUACAUAUUGCUAAAAUUUCCCUGCUCUCAGGAGGACCUUCUGCAAGCUGAUGCAGGACUAGACUGUUCUUCUAAUGUUUUUUUGUCAAGCUUCAAAUCUUGCUUUUUGGAGCAGAAUGCUCCUAUCAGUCACACAAAUUAAUUCCCUCCACCUCUGUUUCUUCCACCAUUUCCUGCAGAGGAGUGCCCAGAACGGCAGUCGGUUCCAGCUCCAGCAGCAGACCCUGUGGAUAUCCCUCCAUCUCAUCUCUGAGAACAGAGUUAGUGAUUUUCCCUGGCUGUUUGGUUGCUACAAAUGAGCACAUUCCCCCUGAAUGCAAGUGAGCCCCGAUGCAAUGCCUGCGCGCCUGGAGUCAGUCUCAUCAUGGCCAGAACAAGAGCCAAAGAGCUCCACAAUUUGUGCUGCACACGUAGGCCCCUCUCAGUGUGGAGCUGCUCUGCACUGCGAUUCUCACCCUCUGCACCGGCAGCAGUAGUGUCCAGACACGCAGACAAACAUUUGAGGGUGACUGUUUUUAGCUCCAUCAGCGCAGGGCUAAGCCUGCCCAAACUGCCUUCUACCAGCCCAGCAACAGUCCCAGCCCACAUGUCAGCAAAUGCUAUGGGAAUCUCUUCUGCUGAGGUGAAGGCUGCAGUUCCUGGUGCUUUUGUUGACUCUGCAGGAGGAGUGUCCGGUCUGCCGGUGUGAGUUUUUUCUGGU